AUGGCGCGGGGUCGCCCACCAAAGGCGGCAUCUCCGGCAGCAGCAGGCAUGAAUAACGCUGGUUCUUCGGCCGCGACGACCAAGCGUCCUCCUACAGUACAGACCUCCUUCACCUCCGUUGCCUUGCAAUCUCUUGCUGGUGAAUGGAACCCCGAGGUCAGAAGUGUUUUAAAAGAUGUAGGCAUGGAUGAGUUGUGCAAAAUCAGAGUGCUAGGGAACACAAACAGGAUCUUUUCCAUGUCUUUGAUAUCUAGAAUCAACCCAGAUAACAUGAUGAUGGACAUGGGUGAUGGUGUAUUCAUAGAGAUUAACAGUAGAGAGGUUGCUAGAUGUAUUGGUCUUGCGCCGGGGGGGGGUAGGAAAAUAGACAUCGCCGGUGGCCGGUGCCUUAUAGAUCGUGAGGACUUGCUUGGCAAAGUCCACGGCAUACUUGGCACUGGUAUGCCGAGGUCGAACAACAUCCCGGUUCACAAAGUCAAGAAGAUAGUUCAAGGGGCUAGCAAAGUUGCGAUAGAGGGUGAUGAGCGCACCACGAUGAAGGUGGUGGUCACACUGUUAGCCAGCUCUACUUUCCUUGUGCCUAGGGGUGCCACAGCAAAAAUCGCAAAUGAGCUACUUCCUGUUGUGGCCGACCCAGAGACGAUAGCAGAGUUUGAUUUCUGUGAUUAUGUGGUUGAGGGCCUGAGGGAAGCAGCAAGAAAGUUAAGGGAUGAUCUCAGCUGUGAUCCUCCUUUGGUCAACCUUACUGGGUGCCUUGUCAUUCCGCAGAUGAUCUGGCUGGACUACCACGAGCACGGUCGUCAAGGCAGGCUGCUGCUACCGCUCCCUAGGCUUGUUGACUAUUCUGACAUGAUGCUAAGGGGGCUGAUCCGGAAGCAUGCAAUUGCUCAGGGGAUAGAAUGCGGUCUGGAGAUCGGCGAUAUUCCUCGUUCUCCGUCAGCAAACAUUAUUGGGUGGUGUGGCAAUGCUCCUAAGCAACAUUGUGAGAGCAGUGGAGCUGGUGUGGCAGAUAGCGGUUCAAACCAUGAUCAAACGACUCCAGCUGCAGCUGGCGGCUUCUCUGAUGAGAUGAAGAAAAAUACAGCCGAAACCCGGAAAAGGGUUCUUGAAUCAUUCAAAGCUGCCAUGGACUACCAGUACCAGCGACGAGAAGAUGAAUUUCUCAAGGUAUUUGAUAGUGUCAGAGAGAGUGUCAUGGGUGAGAUCAAGAAGAGAGCAGCAGAAAACAGGCGAAAGGAGUUGGAGGGCACUUUGGACUUCUUCCUGGCACACAUGAAACAGCAUGCUUUCGUGAUGCCUGUGUUUCCUGUUAACACGCCUGAUGCCCCACGUAACGGAAAAUCUGCAGUGGCAUAA
rnacentral:rRNA from 1 species